rnacentral:rRNA from 1 species
UACGUACGAGGCAAGCGUUAUCCGGAAUUACUGGGCGUAAAGCGCGCGCAGGCGGACGUUUAAGUAGGGCGUGAAAUCUCCCGGCCUAACUGGGAGGGGUCGCUCUAGACUGGGCGUCUUUGAGGACUGCAGAGGUGGGUGGAAUUCCUGGUGUAGUGGUGAAAUGCGUAGAGAUCAGGAGGAACACCGGUGGCGAAGGGCGGCCCACUG